rnacentral:rRNA from 1 species
GAAUUUUGGGCAAUGGGGGCAACCCUGAUCCAGCCAUCCCGCGUGUGCGAUGAAGGACUUCGGGUCGUAAAGCACUUUUAGCAGGGAAGAAAAGGCUCUGGCUAAUACCUGGAGCUGCUGACGGUACCUCCAGAAUAAGCACCCGCUAACUACGGCCCCGCACCCGAGGUAAUACGUAGGGUGCAAGCGUUAAUCGGAAUUACUGGGCGUAAAGCGUGCGCAGGCCGUUCGGCAAGAAGGAUGUGAAAUCCCAGGGCUUAACCUUGGAACUGCAUUCUUAACUGCCGGGCUAGCGUAUGUCAGAGGGGGGUAGAAUUCCGCGUGUAGCAGUGAAAUGCGUAGCGAUGCGGAGGAAUACCGAUGGCGAAGGCAGCCCCCUGGGAUAAUACUGACGCUCAUGCACGAAAGCGUGGGGAGCAAAC